rnacentral:tRNA from 1 species
UCAGGCUUCGUUCAACCGGUAGGACGCUGGUCUCUGAAAUCUGAAAUCCUGGUUCAAAUCCAGGGGCCUGAA